rnacentral:rRNA from 1 species
AACGAACGCUGGCGGCAUGCCUAACACAUGCAAGUCGAACGAGACCUUCGGGUCUAGUGGCGCACGUGUGCGUAACGCGUGGGAAUCUACCCUCAGGUUCGGAAUAACUCAGAGAAAUUUGAGCUAAUACCGGAUGAUGACGUAAGUCCAAAGAUUUAUCGCCUGAGGAUGAGCCCGCGUAGGAUUAGGUAGUUGGUGAGGUAAAGGCUCACCAAGCCGACGAUCCUUAGCUGGUCUGAGAGGAUGAUCAGCCACACUGGAACUGAGACACGGCCCAGAAUCCUACGGGAGGCAGCAGUGGGGAAUAUUGGACAAGGGGCGAAAGCCUGAUCAAGCAAUGCCGCGUGAGUGAUGAAGGCCUUAGGGUUGUAAAGCUCUUUUACACGGGAUGAUAAUGACAGUACCGGGAGAAUAAGCACCGGCUAACUCCGUG